UUCCGUAGGGGUACCUGCGGAGGGAUCAUUACACAAAUAUGAAGGCGGGCUGGAACCUCUCGGGGUUACAGCCUUGCUGAAUUAUUCACCCUUGUCUUUUGCGUACUUCUUGUUUCCUUGGUGGGUUCGCCCACCACUAGGACAAACAUAAACCUUUUGUAAUUGCAAUCAGCGUCAGUAACAAAUUAAUAAUUACAACUUUCAACAACGGAUCUCUUGGUUCUGGCAUCGAUGAAGAACGCAGCGAAAUGCGAUAAGUAGUGUGAAUUGCAGAAUUCAGUGAAUCAUCGAAUCUUUGAACGCACAUUGCGCCCUUUGGUAUUCCAAAGGGCAUGCCUGUUCGAGCGUCAUUUGUACCCUCAAGCUUUGCUUGGUGUUGGGCGUCUUGUCUCUAGCUUUGCUGGAGACUCGCCUUAAAGUAAUUGGCAGCCGGCCUACUGGUUUCGGAGCGCAGCACAAGUCGCACUCUCUAUCAGCAAAGGUCUAGCAUCCAUUAAGCCUUUUUUCAACUUUGACCUCGAUCAGGUAGGCUCCCCCAG
rnacentral:rRNA from 1 species